AUGCCUGGCAGGGAACGAUGGAACCAGCAUCAGUCCCUCUGCCCACACUGCCCAUCCACCCACCGGCCCUGUGCCAGACUCACCGUUCCUGGAGAGUUCGGCACUUCUCGGAAAUCUUCUCGGCAAAAAUGUUCUCCUCAGCCACCAGCUUGGUGCCACCAACCACCACCUCCGGGACCUUCUUGGCAUUGCUCUCCACAUCAGCACGGAAGUUCUGGAAGCGGUGCAGGGCAGCAGCCGAGCCCUCCAGUGUGGAGGGCAGCUCCAGGUGGGACAGCGUGUACUCCUGAGGGGCACAGCAAGGGAUCGGUGCACAAUCACCCUUUCUUGGAAUGCCCACGAGCCAAGAGACCCAAAGGACAUCGCUUGAGCACCCACCUGCUUGGUGAGGAGGAUCUCCGCCUGCUUGGUGUCGCGAAGGAACUCCUGGAAGUUGCGGCACUGGGUGAGGAAGCGCUUCCGAGCCUCUGCCAUCUUGCCCAGGGCAGCCAGGCGGUCCUGGGCCACCGCCAGCUCCCGCUCGAUGCCGUACAGCUUGCGCUGCGUGGCCAGCACGCCGGCCAGGUCGCGGCCCAGCUCGGCCGUGGCCUCCACCGCCCGGGCUUUGCUCCGCAGCCACUUCUGGGUCUCCUCCGACUCCAGGUUGUAGUUGAGGAGGCGCAGCGCCGAGCCCACCGCCCGCCGGCGCUCCGACACCAGCUCCCGGAACCGGCCCCACCUGCGGGACGGAGGCAGGGGAUGGGCGGUGGGGAAUUCACCGCCACCGCCACGGUGCCACCCGCCCGCCCCGGCACCUCCGCCGCCUUACCUCUCGUUGAGCUGCUCCCGGCACUGCCGGACCUGGGGGCUCCGGGGGUGCCCGCUAGCCAGGAGCCCGUCGGCUGCCUGGUUGACUGCGGCGAUCUGGGAAGCCACGGUGGCCAUGUCUUGCUCCAGCCCGUCCAACCUGCGAGGACGUCCCGGCUUAGAACGAGCAGCAAUUCGGGACGGGGCACGGCAGCACCGCCGCGGCGGGGGAUCCAUCCCUACCUGCGCUGCGUCACGUCCAGGUCCUCCAGCGUCUGCGGCACCUCCAGCUCUGCCAGCCAGGUCUCCUUGGAGCCCAUCCAGAGAUGGCAGGCGUCGCUCUCCCCGAAAACAGUGUAGAGGUCCAGGGCAUCCUGCAGCUGGCGGCCGCGGCGCUCGGCCAGCGCGGCCCCCCCCCCCCCCCCCCCCCCCCCCCCCCCCCCCCCCCCCCCCCCCCCCCCCCCCCCCCCCCCCCCCCCCCCCC
rnacentral:lncRNA from 1 species